CCGGAGCUUGCCGCAGCUUGCCGGAGUUGCCGACAAAGAACCUUAAUUGCUGCCCUAAUUUCCAGCAGCCACACAAAACCCUUAGAAGAUCCGAGCUCGAGUGGAGCACGGUGACCUGCCGAUACUCGGAGAUUUUUGCUGUAUAUAAGGCAAUGCCACGAGCCCGUGGUCGCGGUUGGGGCAGUAGCCGUGCCCGUAGUCGCAGUCGUGGUCGCGACAGUGGUAGUGGUCGUGGUCGUGCAUGUCAGCGUGCCACUACUACUGAUCUUGGUUUGGAUGAGGCUCCUAUCUCCCCAUCUGAGUUGAUACCGGGAGCUCAGGUUGGUCCCAGUAUUGGAGUCGGUGGUCAGACUGAGGGACAACCUCAUCUUGUUGCAGCUCAGGUAGCCGUACCAGCCAUUCCUACAGCAUCGUUUAUUAUGGAAAAGGCCCGUAUUCCUUUGCUUG